GGUUGCUGUGUGGUUUCAUCUAACUAGGUUGCUGGAAAGCCCCCAUGCCCACAGCUAUCCCCUGAGUCACCGGGUCUCCGUCAAGCGGGCUGGC
rnacentral:lncRNA from 1 species